GACGAACGCUGGCGGCGUGCUUAACACAUGCAAGUCGAACGGAAAGGCCCUGCUUGCAGGGUACUCGAGUGGCGAACGGGUGAGUAACACGUGGGUGAUCUGCCCUGCACUUCGGGAUAAGCCUGGGGAACUGGGGCGAAUAUCGGAUAGGAGCCAUUCUGAGUGUGAUGGUGGGAAAGUUUUUUCGGGUGGGGAUGAGCUCGCGGCCUACCUGCUUGUUGGUGGGGUUAUGGCCUACCCAGGCGGCGGCGGGUAGCCGGCCUGGGGGGGUGGACGGCCCCCAUGGGGCUGGGAUACGGCCCCGGCUCCUUCCGGGGGGAGCAGUGGGGGAUUUUUCCCAAUGGGGCGGAGCCUGAUGCCGCGACGCCGCGUUGGGGAUGGCGGCCUUCGGGUUGUAAACUCCUUUCGCUAGGGACGAAGCUUUUUGUGACGGUACCUAGAUAAGAAGCACCGGCUAACUACGUG
rnacentral:rRNA from 1 species